rnacentral:rRNA from 1 species
GACGAACGCUGGCGGCGUGCUUAACACAUGCAAGUCGAACGCUGAAGCUCAGCUUUUGUUGGGUGGAUGAGUGGCGAACGGGUGAGUAACACGUGAGUAACCUGCCUCCUUCUUUGGGAUAACGCCCGGAAACGGGUGCUAAUACUGGAUAUUCACUGGUCUUCGCAUGGGGGUUGGUGGAAAGGGUUUUUCUGGUGGGGGAUGGGCUCGCGGCCUAUCAGCUUGUUGGUGGGGUGAUGGCCUACCAAGGCUUUGACGGGUAGCCGGCCUGAGAGGGUGACCGGUCACAUUGGGACUGAGAUACGGCCCAGACUCCUACGGGAGGCAGCAGUGGGGAAUAUUGCACAAUGGGCGCAAGCCUGAUGCCGCGACGCCGCGUGAGGGAUGGAGGCCUUCGGGUUGUGAACCUCUUUCGCUCAUGGUCAAGCCGCAACAAUGGUUGUGGUGAGGGUAGUGGGUAAAGAAGCGCCGGCUAACUACGUG